CGGGAUUCGAUAACCCGAUAUUCUUCCUCCUCAUGGACAAAAUCGGAUGCUUAAGCCAAUAAGGUUGCACCUCUGUCUACCCUCUUAUUUUACUAUACAUAUAGAUCUGGGGUAGUGCUAACUAAUCCUUCUUGUUCUAACUCUUCUCUUUCUCUCUGCUUUGACUAUGGGGAUACCAUGCCCAUUACGGGAUACGAUGUGUCAAAGAGCGGACCAUCUUCGGAGGAAGGAUUUGCUGCUAAGACUGGAUAUGCUGAAUCUGAGCUGAGAGAUGCUAGGUCUCGUCUAAGCCCUUCUGUGGAUUCUUCCUUCAAACCUUCCACAAGCAGGGGAUUCUGUUGCACUAAGACUAGCAGGUUUUAUUACCCUAAGAACGGUUAUCCCGCAAAAGAACCUAAAAAGGCUGGGGCAGGCAGGAAAACCAUAGUUUCCGGGAGUUCUAGUAAUCCCCUAUUUGAUCCAGUUUAAGAGGGGGCGUAGCGCUUACUUACUCGAAAGAGUAAGGACUA
rnacentral:lncRNA from 1 species